GGGAUGUUCUUUACAAUUGCCACCUUCUGUGAUGAAGCAGGGGUUGAGGCUGCUAUAUUUGCUAUUGAUCGGGCUACUGCUGCUGCCUUCUUCAAUGUGAUCCUCGAGUCAUACUCGUCCACUUUAGUGCAGAGCAUAUAUCGGUUAAUAAAAGCAACCACAUGAACUGGUAGAAUUCGUAUUAAGGCGACAAUUCUCGACUGAUUAGGAGAUCUUUGCAUCCAAAAGCUCUGGUGUUUUCAAAUACAAAGACUUGAAUACAGUGAACAGAUUAUUCUAGGAAAGUUAAUACAAGGCUCCAAGACAUUGAUCAAAAUUCAAUGUACUACAUAUGUGAAGAUCUAUGGUAAGGAAAUAAUUCUUUCAAACCAAGAAAAACUUCAUACAUCACUUUCUUUCUUUCUUUUUUUUUUUCCCCCUUUUCAAUUCAUCAAAUCCUCGCCCUCCAAGGCAAAUAUUAAACAAGCCAUAUACAAAUCGCAUACCUACUUAUUCCUAUCAAAAAAGCUCGUGGCAUGUUAGGGUGUUGAAAACCCUUCUUGAUGAAAUCCUGGACUAGCAUUGCAUUCGCAUAUUAUGCAGGGCCAAAUGUCCCCUUUGAUGAAGGCGGCAAAUGCGCAUCACAUCUAUGGGACUCGAAUCACACCCUCUGGCUUGUAGACAAACUGAGACCUCCUGGCUAGGCCCAUCAACAAACUUCCAUGUACAAGCUUUCCCAUCUCCAGUACAUUCCCUACUUUAUCAAAAUCACAUUUACAGGAGUUGGCUAAGUGGAUAGACCUGUAAUAUCAAAUAUAUAGCAAAGACGCAUACGAAUACAAAUGGCUAAUAAUCCUAUAGACUGCAGCGUACUAACACAAAACAUUGACCAUGCCAUAUCAUGCAGCCGGUAAAUCUGACAUAUAGUAAAGACACAUGUGAAAACAAAUGGUUAAUAAUCCUAUAGACUGCAGUGUACUAACACAAACAUUGACCAUGCCAUGUCAUGCAGCCAGCAAAUCUGACCUAGAUUCUUCGUCAAAUGAUUGAUCUGAAGCAGAUGAUAAUGUAUAUGCAAAUGAGAAUUUAGGAGUUGGUUAGUUGGGAGAAUUAGCAAAUAAAAUUUAAAAGCUAAAAUGAGAUCAUCACAUGGAUUGAUGCCUAAAUUAUAAGAUUGCCAGACAAGUCUUAUACUUGAAGCCCAUCAGUCAACAGACAGAUGGAGAUCAUAUCCCACCAGCAGCACACUCAACCAUAUGCCCACGGACAAGCUUGUUUUUUAAGAACAUGUACACUGUUGCAAGUAAUGAAAGAAAUAAGCUGUCAUCAUAAUACUCAUUAUGGAUGAAAAUGAGCAUCUUCAUGAGAAUGUUGAGUUGUAUUUCUCUGGUAUCAAUACUAUUUUAAUUGAAAGAACUAGAUUCAGCAUUGAUACCAAGAUGAGAAAUCAAUUGACUGAAAUAAGGAUGAAAUUUUGAUGGUCUCAUGUUCAAUCGCUAUAGUGGUUACUUGUUAGGCAGAUGCUAAACCUUCACCAUGCCAUUAAAUCUUGAUACCAUUAUGUCUUAGAAUCCCACAAAUUGUUUGCAAUAACUUGGGGUAUAUUUGAAGCCUUUGGUAACUUAGACUAGCACAAAUACACCUUGCCAACAGAGAGAGAUCAAAUGAUAAAAAAGGCAUUAACAUAAGUAGCUUCCUACAACAUUCUACAAGCUGGAACUCAUAAGCAAGUGCUUUAAAGAGGGGAGCAACUUCAUAAAACUUUGUACUGCAUAAAAAUCUGAACCAGAAAACAAUACCACAAUAAUAGCUCUUAAACAAGCAGACAAUGCACAGAAAACAUUAGCAUGAAUCUAAUACAAACAAGAAAAGAGGCAUGGUGCAUAAUACCAUAAAUUGAUAUGGAUCAAAAACAAACACAAAUUAGUGUAGAUUGAAGUUACAAGUAAAUGGUGCAAUCGGCUCACCUUUAUGCUAACCCCAGAUUCCGAAGUUUAUCACAGUUAGGAGUGGGCAUAUUCUUACUCCAGUGACGUCUCUGGAGUUCUAUGUGACAAUAACGCCAAAGCAAGUUUCUAUAGUCCUUAAUUACAUUGUCCUCAAUGUUGGCUCUUGCAGGACUUCCAAUAGGAAAAUUGUCAUCAAAAGCCACUGAUUUGACGAAAAACUCCACUCCAAGUUUCUCAGUUGUCUUGGGGAUUUGAUAGGAAUAAUUCUUAUGCAAAGAAUAAUCUGGCUCUGAAAAGGGCAGAUAAGCAAGCACAAAAAUCAACAAGAAAGGCAGUAUCUGUAGAAGCAGUAGCAGAUUAGGCCCUCCUCCAUUAAACUCCUCCCGGUGUCUCCCACCAGUUCCUCUACUCCUAUAAACAUGAUGAGCCCUAAACAUGUCAGUCUGACCAAAAAAUGACCUGAAUAUUUCAUCCGGAUCAAAAUCAUCAUCAUAAAACUCAUGCACACUUCUCCUUCUCCUUGUCCUCCUAACGUUGUACUGCUGAUUAUACUCAAAUUGGUCAACCAAACCAGUCUGAUCGUACUGCCUCCUCGAAGUGUCAUCGCUCAGGCACUUGAACGCCUUGCUCAAUUUUUUGAAUGCUUCCUCUGAUCCUGGUGCCUUGUUCUUAUCUGGGUGGACUUUCAAUGACAAUUUCUUAUAAGCCUUCCUAAUCUCCUCGACAGAACAAGUCUUUUCCACCCCAAGAAUUGCAUAGUAAUCCUUAUUCCUCUUAAUCUGCCUAAUCAAUUCCACAUGUUCUUCAGUAUAAUUCCGCUCUCCAUUUAAACCCUCAUCAAUUUUAGCAGAACUAGUCCUGUUCUUAUUAUUAUCAACAACGCAUUUUUCAUCUAGAGAAGAUGGUAUCGACCCAGAAGAAUCAAUCUUCUCACAGGCAGCUAAAAGCUCAUCAGUAGGCAAAUUAUGAUUCAGACGUUGGGCAAUUCUAAUAAAUUUCAAUGCUCGGUCUUUAUUUCCUGAUGCAAUUGAUUCUUCAGCAAUUCGAACACAUCUCGCAGCUUCAUCUUUGUUAACAUCCAUAGUUUUCUUCCCCAAAUUUUUCUAGGUAAUACUCAAUAAAUGAAUUUGAAGGGAAAAUUAUGCUCUAAUUGAACUUCCCCACAAAAUUCAUAAUCCGAGAGAAAAAUUAAAGUUUGAAAAUGACAAAUCAGAAAUGAAGAGUGAACAGAUCAGAGAAGAAUUCCAACGAAAAGCGAAAUGGAUGGUAGCAGAGAGUUACCUGAUACGGAGAGAUUCAACAUUCUGAAAACAGAAACAUCUAAAAAAUAGAUGGAAUUGGGAUGAAUUUAGAAUCGAAGAAGAAGAAGAACAAGACUCAAAUCACACGUUUUUGUCUGGAUUUGCUAUUUACAAAGGGUAGGCCCUGCCGCACUUGCUCAGGCUCUAGCUAUCAAGUUUCGUCAGGUUAUCAAAUGGAUUCUUGCCACGUCUCCU
rnacentral:misc_RNA from 1 species